UUAAUCCAGGUAUGACUCUAUCGCUCUGGUUUUGCGUACGUUCUACUGACAUAGCACUGCAUUAUGACACACACUGAGGCACAUUUUUGUUGUUUAACCUUGAGCCUUUCCAGCCACCCUUGUACUUUUUAUCCGUUGCGAACCCCUUUGAGCCUUUAACCAUUUUGUUUGUUUAUAAACCGCUUAUGUUACCCUAUGGCCAGAAAAAGAAAAAAAAUAUAUAAUAAUCUCUUUUACCCUUGCUCGGCAUAAAUGUUGUGGAUUUUGGAAACUGUGUUGAAUUCUAAGUUUGGGGUGGUAAAUCUAAUACAAAAGGGACAAGUGUGCGAAAAGUUGUUACAAGAAAAAAGAAAAGAAAAAAAAA
rnacentral:lncRNA from 1 species